GUGAACGCUGGCGGUAGGCCUAACACAUGCAAGUCGAACGGCAGCACAGUAAGAGCUUGCUCUUCCGGGUGGCGAGUGGCGGACGGGUGAGGAAUACAUCGGAAUCUACUUUUUCGUGGGGGAUAACGUAGGGAAACUUACGCUAAUACCGCAUACGACCUACGGGUGAAAGCAGGGGAUCUUCGGACCUUGCGCGAUUGAAUGAGCCGAUGUCGGAUUAGCUAGUUGGCGGGGUAAAGGCCCACCAAGGCGACGCUCCGUAGCUUGUCUGAGAGGAUGAACAGCCCCACUGGAACUGAGACACGGUCCAGACUCCUACGGGAGGCAGCAGUGGGGAAUAUUGGACAAUGGGCGCAAGCCUGAUCCAGCCAUACCGCGUGGGUGAAGAAGGCCUUCGGGUUGUAAAGCCCUUUUGUUGGGAAAGAAAAGCAGCAGGUUAAUACCCCGCUGUUCUGACGUUACCCAAAGAAUAAGCACCGGCUAACUUCGUG
rnacentral:rRNA from 1 species